rnacentral:misc_RNA from 1 species
UUGGUUUCACUACUUAUCCUCACACAGUAAUCAAUAGUUCCUCAAUCUCUCAUCAAAACACCACGCGGAACUGCGGCGCAUCGGCAUCACUAGCAGGGAGGAUUUCCCAGCGGCAAGGCUCGAGCUCGUCCGACACCGGGCAGUACCCGGCCAGAGUAACCUUAUCGGUCGAAGCAGCGAUGGAGCCAAACUCGAACACGGUGACGUUCUUGGCGGGUCGGGG